rnacentral:sRNA from 2 species
GUUCUUUGUCUGCUUAAUGGUCUGACCUGUUCAGGCCAGCGGGGAACCCAGAUUUUCCGGUAAAACGGAUUGGGGCUUACGGUGCCUGCGGCAUCGGGAACACUUAGUGGUUCCAGCCCGACAGCUAACCUCGUGUGCGUAAACAUUAAGGGCAG